CCAACAUCUCUAUGGGGCAGAGGAGGAGGCCAGGUUCAGAGAGGCUUAGCUAUUGCUAUGUUGACUAGAGUGGAUCUGAACUUGUGAUCCUCCUGCCUCAACCUCCCUGAGUGCUGGGAUGACAGGCGAGCACCAUCAGGCCCGCCAGGAAGGACAGAUCUGUGUGUGCCAAGGUUCUCCCCUCCCCUGAGCUCUUGAGUCAGGAGCAGCAUUUGAGAUGCAUCAUGACUGAGUCAGAAGAAAGCAGAAAAGCCAUAAAAGCACCUCCCUGUGUGAGGCCAGCUCCUAAGAGAGAAACGGGAAGCAAAUCAAUGGGCCGAAGCUGCUCCGAGAGGGUCCCCGGAUGCCUGAAGUGUCCGGAGGAAACACCUGCCUGCAGCGUGAUGUCACCCAGGACCUCUCAGCAGGGACAGAGCGCCUAGCAUCCACUUCAGCAAGCUGACAGUGCAGCCCCGCGUGGGCGCCACCCUCUUCCUGCCCUCCAGAGGGGACAAAGGACCUCACGGAGGAGCAGGGCGGGAAAGCGCCUCAGCACUCAAGGCUGAGACAGGAGGAUCGCUACGCAUUUGACGCCAGCCUGGGCUACCUAGUGAGUGCAAGGCCAGACCCUGUGCUGCUGUGACCUACACUGUCCCCUGUCCCUCUGCACUGCUGCUGGAUUCCUGGAGAUGGAGCCAGGCCUGGGCGCCAUAGCAACGCCCCAUGUCAGUGAAUGAAUGAAAGGGUGGGUGGAUGGGUGGAUGAGGGGGUGACUGUGUUAUGCCGCAGGGCCCAGGAAUAAAGGGGCCGCUGCGCUGCCUGCCCUGCCUCCCCCGGGUGUGGCUGACUUUCCUCCUGGCCCUGGGGCCAUCUUGGCUUCUUGUUAACUUCUAGCGGCCUUGUUUCUUAUCUUAUUUUUAAUUUAGUGCAAACUUUUAAAAGUGCAAAUAUCUGAUAAAAAAGCAGGCUCACUGGCUCAGUUGUCACCUUCCAGCAAAAGAGCUCACUUUAUACAAUUUUUCUGUCCUUUUUUUCCCCAGUGGAUGGGCUUCCACAGGAGCACGUUUUUUUUGGGUUUUUUUAGAAAAGGUCUCACUAUGUAACCCAGGCUGGCCUUGAACUCACAGCAACCCUCCUGCCUCAGCCUCCCUAACACUGGGAUUACCGGCAUGUGCCAUCACACUGAGUUUAUACAUUUCAGUCUGUCUUUUUGGCCCUGAUAAAGUAAGACUCUUCAGCCUUCCAAA